AUACGUAGGUGGCAAGCGUUGUCCGGAAUUACUGGGUGUAAUGGGCGUGUAGGCGGUGAUGCAAGUCAGAAUUUAAAUUCCGGGGCUCAACCUCGGCACUGUCUCUGAAACUGUGUCUCUUGAGUGUUGGUGAGGAAAGCGGAAUUCCUAGUGUAGCGGUUAAAGGCGUAGAUAUUAGGAGGAACAUCAGUGGCGAAGGCGGCUUUCUAGACAGUAACUGCCGCUGAGGCGCGAAAGCGUGGGUAGCGAACAGGAUUAGAUACCCUGGUAGUCCACGCCGUAAACGAUGGAUACUAGGUGUAGGAGGUAUCGACCCCUUCUGUGCCGGAGUUAACACAAUAAGUAUCCCACCUGGGGAGUACGGCCGCAAGGUUGACACUCAAAUGAAUUGGCGGGG
rnacentral:rRNA from 1 species